CGGGGACCCACCUCUAUCCAUUCCGAACAGAGAAGUUAAGCCCGUCAUCGCCGAUGGUACUGGCACACCAGCUGGGAGAGUAGGCAGCCGCCGCGC
rnacentral:rRNA from 1 species